AUGCGAUAAGUAAUGUGAAUUGCAGAAUUCAGUGAAUCAUCGAAUCUUUGAACGCACCUUGCGCUCCUUGGUAUUCCGAGGAGCAUGCCUGUUUGAGUGUCAUGUAUUCCUCAAUCGUUCCGGUUUUUGCUGGGAUAGAUUGGAUUUGGAAGCUGCUGUUUCAUUCGAAUCAGCUCUUCUUAAAUGCAUUAGCGUGAAUGGUAUCAAACGUUCUCCAGUGUAAUAAUCAUUUGCGCUGCCGGGACUUUGGUCAAUUACAAGUUCAUGCUUCGAACCGUCUGUCGCAGACAAUAUACUUUGCAUUU
rnacentral:rRNA from 1 species